UACGUAGGGCGCAAGCGUUAUCCGGAAUUAUUGGGCGUAAAGAGCUCGUAGGCGGUUUGUCGCGUCGGCUGUGAAAUCCCGAGGCUCAACCUCGGGUCUGCAGUCGAUACGAGCAAACUAGAGUGUUGCAGGGGAGACUGGAAUUCCUGGUGUAGCAGUGAAAUGCGUAGAUAUCGAGAGGAACACCAGUGGCGAAGGCGGCGACCUGGUCCGUGACUGACGCUGAGGCGCGAAAGCGUGGGGGAGCAAACAGG
rnacentral:rRNA from 1 species